rnacentral:rRNA from 1 species
UACGGAGGGUGCAAGCGUUAAUCGGAAUUACUGGGCGUAAAGCGCACGCAGGUGGCUGAGUCAGUCGAUUGUGAAAGCCCUGGGCUUAACCUGGGAAUUGCAGUCGAUACUACUCAGCUAGAGUAUGGGAGAGGGUAGUGGAAUUCCCGGUGUAGCGGUGAAAUGCGUAGAUAUCGGGAGGAACAUCAGUGGCGAAGGCGGCUACCUGGCCCAAGUACUGACACUCAGGUGCGACGAGCGUGGGGAGGCAAACAGG